rnacentral:rRNA from 1 species
UACGGAGGGGGCUAGCGUUGUUCGGAAUUACUGGGCGUAAAGCGCGCGUAGGCGGCUUUGUAAGUUAGAGGUGAAAGCCCGGAGCUCAACUCCGGAAUUGCCUUUAAGACUGCAUCGCUAGAAUCAUGGAGAGGUGAGUGGAAUUCCGAGUGUAGAGGUGAAAUUCGUAGAUAUUCGGAAGAACACCAGUGGCGAAAGGCGACUCACUGGACAUGUAUUGACGCUGAGGUGCGAAAGCGUGGGAG